rnacentral:rRNA from 1 species
CAGUCGCCGCGGUAAUACGGAGGGUGCAAGCGUUAAUCGGAAUUACUGGGCGUAAAGCGCACGCAGGCGGUCUGACAAGUCAGAUGUGAAAUCCCCGGGCUUAACCUGGGAACUGCAUUUGAAACUGUCAGGCUGGAGUCUUGUAGAGGGGGGUGGAAUUCCAGGUGUAGCGGUGAAAUGCGUAGAGAUCUGGAGGAAUACCGGUGGCGAAGGCGGCCCCCUGGACAAAGACUGACGCUCAGGUGCGAAAGCGUGGGGAGCAAACAGGAUUAGAUACCCGGGUAGUCCCUGUCUCUUAUAU